UAAUAGAUUAAAUUACUUUGAUAAUAGAUAAAACAAGGAAGACAAGGGAAAACUAAGGAGAAGAGGAUGUUCACUUACAGCCUCCUCUGAUGUUCUCUUGUAGGACUUGACCUUCAGCUGCAGUUUGUCCACCAGAUCCUGAAGACGGCUCAAAUUCUUUUUGUCCUCCUCAGUCUACAGAUGGGAGAGAGGUUAUUCUCACCUGCGUUCUACAAUUUUCUGGAACUCAAUCCUGGCAAGAAGUCCACGGCUUUUAGCCUGGAUACCAGUGAUGAUGAGUGCGAGACGGUCGUCUCUCAUCUCCUCAAGGACACCGAGGAGACCAGCUUUGAAGAACACCUGAUAAGAGUCAAAACAGAGGCAAACAGGCACAGCGAUAUCUCCAUAGUAAUUCUGUAGGGAUUCAGUUCAGAUGGAAAAUCCGCUAUGGGAGAAGCAUCUAAACGCCACUUCCCUUCGUGAGGGAAAAUUGGUCAGGUGGAUUUAGAGGGUUUUGCAUCUGAACUCUUCACAUGUUGACUGUCUCCAUACUGGAUCCUGUUGGGGAAGCCCUUUCUGCAGAUCCUGAUGCCUUCCAGCACACCGUUACAGCGCAGCUGGUGCAUGACCAGAGGAUUCUCCAUGGCCCCAGGAGUCUUGGUCUCGUUGGGGAUGAGGCAGCGCACAAAGUGGGGUCUGUAAAUCUCACCUUGUUUGGGUCAAGCCUCAGAUGUCCUGUUACGCAGAUAUGAUGUCACUUGCUGUAGUUCAACAGAGAAGAAGUAAUCAGAUGACACAGUGUUACAGCAGCAGUGCUGCAGAAGAACAUGGCAGCAAAACGGAAAGAGCCCAAAUAGAUCUCGGGUCCUUGAGGUGGACCCUCACAGUUCAGUGCCAAUACAACAGGAGAUCUCAAGGUGUAAAAAAUGUGUUGUGUGCACAACAGGUGUUACCUUGUCAUCUCCUUAGAGAAUCUCAGGGUAGCAGCAGCCAAUACCUAGAUCAGCCUAAGACAAGCACAAGGAUGUGGAAAGAUUCUUAUUGUUUUUACCCCCUACUAGAUGGGUUCACUUAAUUUAAGAAGGACCUCGCAGCCUUUUUACAGCUUUGACAGUAAAACUGAAAGAGCCCAAAUGGAAGAUUUCUCUGGUCCUUGAUGUGGACCCUCACAGUUCAGUGCCAAUGCAACAGGAGAUCUCAAGGAAUAAAAACUCCGCAGUUUUCAAGAGGGGCUUGAUCUUGAAGUACAUCUUCAUCCAGGGCCAAUUCUUGACACCCAUGAAUGCACGGACGUUCCACUGGAUCACCAGCAAGGUUAUUCUCACCUGCGUUCUACAAUUUUCUGGAACUCAAUCCUGGCAAGAAGUCCACGGCUUCUAGACUGGAUACCAGUGAUGAUGAGAGCGAGACGGUCGUCUCUCAUCUCCUCAAGGGUUCCCAGGAGACCAGCUUUGAAGAACACCUGUUAAGAGUAAAAACAGUCUGCGUACUGGAUCCUGUUGGGGAAGCCCUUUCUGCAGAUCCUGAUGCCUUCCAGCACACCGUUACAGCGCAGCUGGUGCAUGACCAGAGGAUUCUCCAUGGCCCCAGGAGUCUUGGUCUCGUUGGGGAUGAUGCAGCGCACAAAGUGGGGAAGAACCUUGUGGAGACUUUUUACAGCUUUGACAGCAAAACGGAAAGAGCUCAAACAGAAUAUUUCUCUGGUCCUUGAUGUGAACCCUCACUGUUCAGUGCCAAUACCACAAGGAGAUUUCAAGGUGUAAAAUGGCAACUGUUGCUCUCACCUUGCCACCGGUAUCACGGCUCUUGGCUCUCAUCUUGUUGACCUGAGACUCAGCUAUAUCAGCUCUCUCCUCAGCCUC